GUCAAUAGAUAAGUAGAUUAUAGGUCAAAGCCCAACAUUACAAAAAACACUAAACACAUACACCCAGGCCCAAGGCCCACCAAACGCAACCCUAGAGAAACCAAAGGCGGCGCCUCCGCUUCGAUCACGGCCUCCACCGCUUCCAGCCAUCACCGGUGAUCCAAUCGACGAUCCACCGGGAUACACCAUCAGUCGCUGACUUCACACUCUCUUAGCCGCAAACGCUUACAACCCCGAGCUCACCACAGUGGAGAGAUGCAAUCGGCAUACCGAGAUCUCAUCCGUCUCUUUUCAUCAUCGGAGCUGGGAGUAAAGCUUCGCCGACCCAUCAACCUUCAACACCCGAUAGCAUCGAUCGUCUUCCGACGAGAGCUCCUCAAACGAGACAUUAACGAAACAGCAAACAGACAAAGAUAAAAUCAAACCCUUAAAGCGUAGAGAAACCAAAAGCCGGCGAGGCAAGGCAAAGUCCGCCUUCACCACCCAGAACCUGAAGCCGGCGAACGCAGAGCUGAAGAAGCCUCCACUCCCCGGGUUUGAAUCUUUCGUACACCAGUUAGGCCCAUUCUUCCAACAUACAGCCAUCAUAUUACCAACAAUCCUAGGGCCCUUAAUACCAAUAUACAUAAACUUAUUAUUAACUAAGCACCUACGGUUCACUCUAAAAUAUGCAUGAGGAUUUUUUUUUUUUUUUAACUGGCUUUCAUAUUGAAAUAAAGAAAAAAAAAUACAGAGAUUACAAAGAAGAAACAAAAGAAGAAAAAAAAAAAAUACAACUUAAAACUAAAAGGAAAACAUGACAACACAAUCCGAAUAUAUUCAACCCGAGAUGGGGAUAACAGUGGCUCACAAGUAAGAAGCAAGUAAAAUAGGUACGACAUACAAUGGCAGCUUUUAGAUGGUUUGACUACACAGGCAAGUAGCGUUAGCAAACUCCGGGUCUUACAUCCUAUUCACCAACCAAUUGCUGUUAAUCCAAAGAGGAGCCGGAGCAUCCUGACUUGCUUCCAAACAAGUACUACCACUGACAAUUAAGCGCAGGGAAGGUGAGGAGCAACAAACCUGUACGCACGCAACACCAAACGCCGAAAGAACGGGAUGAAAAGGAGGCAGCUAGAUCAAAGAAACAACGGGACCUGCACUGAAAGGAAAAGAACCAAAUCUGCCGCGGUAAAUCAAAAGAACCACCACGGCACUUGAUACAAGCCUAAGCUAUCAAAGGCUGUACGUUCCCAAGCAAGAGAGAGAAGGAGCCGAUCUAACACAAGGGUGAUCCGGAUGGACUGAUCUAAUCAACCAAGGGAUCUGAACUGGAACUGUAUGAUGGGAUGAAGUGCACCACACGAGAGAUGGGAGGCUCGUGAUACAACACAAGGUUCCUCUAGGCCGUGGAGGUGCUGGUCUCACAAGGCAAAGAGAAGGAGGCGAGUUCUAGCUUGAGAGCUCUAGGGUUUUCUUUAGAAGAAAAGUUUAUGAUUAUUCAAAGUCUGCCCCAAAAGUGGGCUUGCGAAAACAUAUAAAUAGGACUAAGGGAACAGGCUCCACUUAAGUCACGAAAGUACAAAUAAGGAAACAAACUAUAAUGUAAAACAUGAAAUAAGGUCAUGAGGCUUCUUAGCCUUGGAUCGAACUUGGCACUUAGGAUAAGUGUGAAGCAAGUUGUGGCCUCGUUAAAAACCUUCCCUGGAAAACCCAUUUGGGACAAAACCAAGAGUAAGGGAAAAAGAGCACACACAAAGAGCUUGGCCUAGCUGCUAGAUUCGUCCAAGAGACUUGCUAGGCAAGUUGAUCUUCCAUGGUAAUGAUCAUCAGGUUGGUGUGGCAUUGCUCCGGGAUGAGUGGCCACAUAUCCUCACUUGAUGCUUGCUUCUCCUUAACCGGUUCUGCACCCUUUAGUUCAUCUUGCUUCAAGCUUGGUUCAUCAGCCAGUUUAACCUGUCCAAGAUCAGAAGCAAGUAUCAUGCUCUCAUUAAAUUUAUGUUGAAGAACCUUAGCUCUUUGUCUAGUGAUAGCUCCCUUGAAUACGGUUGGUACUGGCACUUCUUGGACUGGCUCUGAUUUGGUUAUGUUGCUGAUCAUGUCCUGGAUAUCAGGUUCAGUUAAGUCUGGUUCCGGCUCUGGUUGAAUGUCCUCAUCAUUCCCUCCCUCUUCAAAAGGUUUUGACCUCAAAACUGGUUCAUCUGCAAAACAAGGAGAUAGAUCAGUAACAUUGAAAGUAGAAGACACAUUCAACUCACCUGGCAGAUCAAGACGGUAGGCAUUGUUGUUGAUCCUCUCAACAACUUGAAAUGGGCCGUCCCAUCUUGGCUUCAGCUUGGAACUUCUCUGGUUAGGAAACCUUUCUUGCCGCAUGUGUAACCAAACCCACUCCCCUGGUUCAAAUACAAUGUCCUUGCGGCCCUUGUUGGCAUGUUUAGUGUACUGCUCAGUCCUCUUCUCUAAAUUCUCUUGAACCUUCUGAUGGAGUUCUUUGACAUAAGCAGCUUUAGCUUCCCCGGUAAGACUGACAACUUCAGCUGGAGGUAAUGGUUUAAGAUCCAAAGGGGUUUUCGGGUUGAACCCAUAGGCUGCCUCAAAGGGGGACAUCUUAGUGGCUGAAUGCUGAGCUCGGUUGUAUGCAAAUUCGAUGAAUGGAAUACAAUCAACCCAAUUCUUCAUGUUCUUCCCAAUGGUUGCCCUAAGCAGCGUAGAGAGCGUCCUGUUGACAACUUCAGUCUGCCCAUCAGUUUGGGGAUGGCAAAAUGCACGUUUGAAUCAUAUAGUAACAGUAUGAAAAACCAAUGAUACACCAAAGAGUCUCCAAUAGCUUUCUCUUAUAUUGACUCCAGUUUUCCAUAUAUUCCAAUACCAAAUAUCUCACAAUUAACCCGUAUCUCCUUGAUUUGAGAGUCCCCGAUCUGGAUCCCCAAAGAUACCACAACACCCAAUCCCCGAUAAGGUAAAGCAAAUCAAUCCCUAUUAGAUGGAAAAGGGAAAUUAAAUAAUCGCAAUCUAGAUUACAACCUGUAAAGAUAUUGCGAUCCAUCUUGAUAGCCCCUGAUAUCCCUCGCAUUUGAUCUCGAAACUGCAGUAUCCAUAAUAUCUCGAAGAUCUCCUUCCUAAUUCCCAUGACGAUCCCCAAACCAUCCCUUCGCAACCCUUGAAUCCCACCAUCCGUUAAUUGAUCAUGAAAGAUCAAAUCAGCCCGAUCCCCAUCUCUAAUUCCCGGAUCCCAUCUUUUUGAAAUCAUGGAACCCGUGCUUUAAUGUAGAAUGUGUUUAGAAAUUUUAAAAAACAACAACAACAUGAUAAUUGAUGAUAUCAUUUUUAUUACUUGUUUUUAUAUUCUUGAAGUGAGAUACUAUAUUUAUAUUUAUAUAUAUAUGUGGUGAAAUACAUAUAUGCCGAAGUUUCUUCACUAUAGAAGUGGCCCUCAGAUCCCAUUAAUACACGAAACCCAUGUCUGUUUUUUCCAUCACCCAAAAUGAAAUGGCAUGUAAAAUUAAUUUGUAAUCCUAGAGAAACUCCGCUAAUUAAGGUAAUUUCCAUUUGAUAAAAAUGUUCAUUUUAUUAAUCACCUGUAACGAUAAUUCAUCGACAUUUUUAAAUAAUUAGAUCUCUUUAAAAAUGUUUCAAGUGUUGCGUGGAGUCAGGCCUUUUCUUUGCCCGUUUUCAAAACAUUCUACAAGAAAUAUUAAAGAAAGAACUGGCCAGCAAAAAAGAAAGAGUAAAAUAGUUUGAUGGCUUCUCUCAAAUCCUUACCACAAUCGUAGAUCAUAGAUGGUAUAGCGCUAACAUCAAUACUAGUGAUGGAUAAAUUGACAAAUAGUGCGGUAAUUUUUACGACUGCGAGGGAGACACAUGCUAGUUUUUUUUUUUUUUUCCGUCAAUAGAUAAGUAGAUUAUAGGUCAAAGCCCAACAUUACAAAAAACACUAAACACAUACACCCAGGCCCAAGGCCCACCAAACGCAACCCUAGAGAAACCAAAGGCGGCGCCUCCGCUUCGAUCACGGCCUCCACCGCUUCCAGCCAUCACCGGUGAUCCAAUCGACGAUCCACCGGGAUACACCAUCAGUCGCUGACUUCACACUCUCUUAGCCGCAAACGCUUACAACCCCGAGCUCACCACAGUGGAGAGAUGCAAUCGGCAUACCGAGAUCUCAUCCGUCUCUUUUCAUCAUCGGAGCUGGGAGUAAAGCUUCGCCGACCCAUCAACCUUCAACACCCGAUAGCAUCGAUCGUCUUCCGACGAGAGCUCCUCAAACGAGACAUUAACGAAACAGCAAACAGACAAAGAUAAAAUCAAACCCUUAAAGCGUAGAGAAACCAAAAGCCGGCGAGGCAAGGCAAAGUCCGCCUUCACCACCCAGAACCUGAAGCCGGCGAACGCAGAGCUGAAGAAGCCUCCACUCCCCGGGAACUAGAUCGGCGGCGAUGGAUCUGUAGAAGCCUCCACCUCCCGGAAAAACCUUAAUCAGACGAACCGACUUCACCACACCUCACCCUUUACCCGAUCGCGCCGUUACUCCAGUUCCCGCGCCACCGCGUAUGUCUGUUCACUCCGCGAGUUAACGACGGCGGGUGGGACGUGGACCAGAGCUUCGACAAGGCAAACAGAGAGAGGAGGUAAAGGAGAAGCCGGGGAACUUUUCUAAUUGGAAGAAUAUGGGCUCCGGCGACGGCACAGACGCUCACGCGCCGACCGUACGCCGGACCCAAACAGAUCUGCUUUUUGACCCACGAGCUUGUUCUCUUUCUCUGGUUGGUCUGUUUUUUCUCUGCGAUAAAUAUACACAUGCUAG
rnacentral:lncRNA from 1 species